CCUACGGGAGGCAGCAGUGGGGAAUAUUGGGCAAUGGAGGAAACUCUGACCCAGCAACGCCGCGUGAAUGAUGAAGGUCCUCGGAUUGUAAAGUUCUUUUCUACGGGAAGCAGAAAAUGACGGUACCUGAUUAAGAAGCCCCGGCUAACUACGUGCCAGCAGCCGCGGUAAUACGUAGGGGGCAAGCGUUAUCCGGAUUUACUGGGUGUAAAGGGAGCGUAGGCGGCAGCACAAGUCUGGAGUGAAAUGCCGGGGCUUAACCCCGGAACUGCUUUGGAAACUGUGCGUCUAGAGUGCGGGAGAAGUAAGUGGAAUGCGUGGUGUAGCGGUGAAAUGCGUAGAUAUUAGGAGGAACACCAGUGGCGAAGGCGGCUUACUGGACUGUAACUGACGUUGAGGCUCGAAAGCGUGGGGAGCGAACAGGAUUAGAUACCCUUGUAGUC
rnacentral:rRNA from 1 species